AGAUAAGUUGUCAGGAUGUCUGCAGCAUCAAGCUAAAGGCUUCGUUUGUUCUCACAAGGUGCUGGAGUCUUCAGCAGGUAUGGAGAGAGCGUUACCUGGAUGCCUGUUGAUGAUCCACAAUGAAUACCGUGGUCAAAUAAAGGAAAGAAAAGUUUACCUUGAGGAAGACCUGGAGUUCCUGGGACUGUGUGCGCUCCAGGAUCUCAGGCUGCAGGUGCUUGAAUAGAGCCACACACAGAUUAUUUCCUACGCUAGGAGGAAGAAACUU